CUGGGAUGAAUCACGUUGCGGUCCCGCUGCUGUCUGCCUGGCUGGAGGACUCUGCGGGGAGCUGCAAGAAGAGGCUAGAAGGGCAGGAAGGUAGUGGCCUGGAUGUUCAAAACCCAUGUGUGGACCAUCAGGAAAAAUAAUGAUGCCUGCUAGAGUGGAUUCUGUCAAGAUGAAGCAUCAACAAAAAAAUCUACACCUUGCAAGAUGGGCCAAACAGCAUGACUUCUGUAUUUAAACAACACUUAUGAUUAAGUGUUAUGAAGCAUGAAUUACAGGGUUCAAACUGGGGAACUCUGGGACAAGUUUUUGCUACCUCAGUCACAAGGUAUGUAUAGCAUAAACUGUUCAAAUUAAUUGUAGUUUAUACUCAGUGGCU
rnacentral:lncRNA from 1 species